UUAGGAAUAUUCGUCAAUGGGGGAAACCCUGAACGAGCAAUGCCGCGUGAAGGAUGACGGUCCUAUGGAUUGUAAACUUCUGUUGUUAGGGAAGAACGACCUGUGUAGGAAAUGACACAGGAGUGACGGUACCUUUCAAGAAAGCUCCGGCUAACUACGUG
rnacentral:rRNA from 1 species